rnacentral:rRNA from 1 species
UACGUAGGUGACCAGCGUUGUCCGGAUUUACUGGGCGUAAAGAGCGCGCAGGCGGUCGUUCAAGUCGAGUGUGAAAGCCCCCGGCUCAACUGGGGAGGGUCAUUCGAUACUGAUCGACUCGAAGGCAGGAGAGGGAAGCGGAAUUCCUGGUGUAGCGGUGAAAUGCGCAGAUAUCAGGAGGAACACCGGUGGCGAAGGCGGUUCUCUGGGCAUGUCCUGACGCUGAGGAGCGAAAGUGUGGGGAGCGAACAGG